rnacentral:rRNA from 1 species
GUCCACGCCGUAAACGAUGUCAACUAGCCGUUGGGAGCCUUGAGCUCUUAGUGGCGCAGCUAACGCAUUAAGUUGACCGCCUGGGGAGUACGGCCGCAAGGUUAAACUCAAAUGAAUUGACGGGGGCCCGCACAAGCGGUGGAGCAUGUGGUUUAAUUCGAAGCAACGCGAAGAACCUUACCAGGCCUUGACAUCCAAUGAACUUUCCAGAGAUGGAUUGGUGCCUUCGGGAGCAUUGAGACAGGUGCUGCAUGGCUGUCGU